AGAGUUUGAUCCUGGCUCAGGACGAACGCUGGCGGCGUGCCUAACACAUGCAAGUCGAGCGGGAAGCUUUUUGUGGCGGCUUCGGCCAAAGCAGAAAGUGGAGAGCGGCGGACGGGUGAGUAACGCGUGAGUAACCUGCCCAUAAGAGGGGGAUAACACUCGGAAACGGGUGCUAAUACCGCAUAACAUAUUGAAAUCGCCUGGUUUUGAUAUCAAAGAUUUAUCGCUUAUGGAUGGACUCGCGUCCAAUUAGCUAGUAGGCGGGGUAACGGCCCACCUAGGCGACGAUUGGUAGCCGAACUGAGAGGUUGAUCGGCCACAUUGGGACUGAGACACGGUCCAGACUCCUACGGGAGGCAGCAGUGAGGAAUAUUGGACAAUGGCCGGAAGGCUGAUCCAGCCAUGCCGCGUGCGGGAGGACGGCCCUAUGGGUUGUAAACCGCUUUUGCGAGGGAGCAAUAAGGUCUACGUGUGGACUGAUGAGAGUACCUUGCGAAUAAGCAUCGGCUAACUCCGUGCCAGCAGCCGCGGUAAUACGGAGGAUACAAGCGUUAUCCGGAUUUAUUGGGUUUAAAGGGUGCGUAGGCGGUACGCUAAGCGGGAGGUGAAAUGCCGGCGCUCAACGUCGGAAGUGCCUCCCGAACUGGCGUACUUGAAUGACUCUGCCGUGGGAGGAAUGUGUAGUGUAGCGGUGAAAUGCUUAGAGAUUACACAGAACACCGAUUGCGAAGGCAUCUCACGAAGGGUUGAUUGACGCUGAGGCACGAAAGCGUGGGGAUCAAACAGGAUUAGAUACCCUGGUAGUCCACGCAGUAAACGAUGAUGGCUAACCGCUGGUGCGCUCGCAUCAGUGGCCAAGCGAAAGCGAUAAGCCAUCCACCUGGGGAGUACGACCGCAAGGUUGAAACUCAAAGGAAUUGACGGGGGCCCGCACAAGCGGAGGAACAUGUGGUUUAAUUCGAUGAUACGCGAGGAACCUUACCCGGGCUCGAACGGCAGGUGAAGAGAUCCAGAGAUGGUGACGUCCUUCGGGACACCUGUCGAGGUGCUGCAUGGUUGUCGUCAGCUCGUGCCGUGAGGUGUCGGCUCAAGUGCCAUAACGAGCGCAACCCUUGCCGUCAGUUGCCAUCAGGUAAAGCUGGGGACUCUGCUGGGACUGCCGGGGACAACUCGGAGGAAGGUGGGGACGACGUCAAAUCAUCAUGCCCCUUAUGACCUGGGCUACACACGUGCUACAAUGGCCGUAACAGAGAGGGGCGAAGGCGCAAGCCGGAGCAGAUCUCAAAAAAGCGGUCUCAGUUCGGAUUGUGGGCUGCAACCCGCCCACAUGAAGUCGGAGUUGCUAGUAAUCGCGGAUCAGCAUGCCGCGGUGAAUACGUUCCCGGGCCUUGCACACACCGCCCGUCAAG
rnacentral:rRNA from 1 species